GGGGUGACGCACCAUGGCAACCAGCACUCUGCGUCUGGGAAGUAAACUCCACCGUGCUUUCUAGUUUCCUGUCGCCACCAUCCCAAAGAGACUUGAAGAUGUACAGCCAGCAGUUUGGCACUGUUCCAAGGGAAUUUAAGGGCCCCACUCCCAAAGCGGUGAUCAUAAUGAGAAACCCCAGACUUGGAGCUGAGAUAACUUGUUCAGCACAGUGAUGACGGAGUAUAGGCCAUUGUUCUUUAAAAGAGGAACUUGCUAUGCUGCAGUAGCAAAGUCUCUCCUUGCUCUUCACAAAUCCCAGCGUCUGUGCCCAUGAUUGUAGUUACCUGCUUAGUAGUUACACCUGGCUUUGACCUCUGGCUAUGUUGUUGAAAUUGCUCGGAGUCACAUAUUGAAAAGAGAGCCAAGCCUCCCAAAGCUCAGAGAGCUGAGCAACAUCUAAAAAGAAUCCAGCGCAGCUACCACAAGUACCACACUACUUUGGCUUCCAUCAAGUCAAAUGAGGAGAAUCGCCUGAAAUGUGACUGGAUCCAGCGCAAUAACCACAAGACCUUUGACAGUCUUGUGCAAGCGAGAGUCCAGGAUGCCAUGCAAGGCUUUGUCAUCAAUACUGAAGAGAGACGCAAUAAGCUACGUGAACUUUUGGCAUCAGAAGAAAACGAGUAUUUUUCUGAAAUGCAAUUGAAAGGAGAAACCAUUGAAGAGAAAAAAGACAAAAUGAGAGAGAGAACCAAGUUAUUAAGAGAGAAGAAGGAAAAGGAGAGGCAGGAGUUUGUAGCUGAAAAGUUAGACCAGCAGUUCAGGGAACGCUGUGAGGAGCUCCGCACUAAAUUGGCCAGCAUCCACGAGAAAAAGGUGGUUGAGGAACGGAAUGCGCAGAUAGAAUUCAACAAGGAGCUGAAGAGGCAAAAGCUGGUGGAAGAGCACCUGUUUGCGAGGCUUUGGGAGGAAGACAGAUUAGCGAAGGAAAGGCGAGAAGCCCAAGAGGAGAAGAGACAGAGAGAGCUGGUACAAAAUACACGCCUGGGUCUGGAUGCUCAGGUGACCAGCAUCCAGGCACAAAGGCAGGGGGCACGAAGGAUGAAGGAAGAGGAGGCCCGCAUCCUGGAGCAGAACAAAGCACAGAUCAAACGAGAGGACGAACAAGAAAAACUCCAGAAGCAGAAGAGAAGACAGGAAACUAGGAGCAGUUUGAAAAAAGCUGUGCAGGAUAAGAUAGAGUCUAUGCAGCGGGAGUACAGAGAGGACCUGGACUUGAACAUGAAACUCGUGGGAAGGGCCCUUCAAGACUUACAAGAUGAGGCAGAUAAGAAGAAGCAGAAGAGAGAAGAAAUGGGAAGAGAGCAGAAGAUAUACAAUGACUAUCUAAUGCAGCGACGAGAGGAAGAAAAAGCCCAGGAGAAAGAACUCAACAGACUACUGGAGGACAUAAAGGCAAAGAAGUUGGCUGAGAAGGAUCGGGAGCUGGCACUCCAAAGGGCGGCAAGGAAGCAGCUCAUGAAUGAAGUCAUGAAUACAAGAAAACUCCAAGUUCAAGAAAGAUUGCAGCGAAAACUCAGAGAACAAGAAGAACUUGCUCUGCAUGAACAGCGUAUAAGCGAAAGCCUGAAGGUGCUUCACCAGGAAGACAUGGAGGACUUUGCCAGGCGCUGUGCUUUGGCUGAGGAGUAUAGGAAUCAACUUCAGAUGCAGAUUGCCCACCAGCAGCAGGCUCGAGAAGCAGAAAAGGAAGAGGAACGCCAGGAAUUUGAAGCAGGGUUGGCAGCAAACAAAGCCUGCCUGGACAAAAUACAGAGGAUCCUCUCUGAGAAUCAAGCUCUGUCCCAGAAUGUCCACCCCAUGCGAAGGGGUUACCCUGACAAGCCUCCUCUAUAGUUUUAUAUAAAUCAAUGUAUGUUUUCUGGGUCUUUCAAUAUUUUUUUUAACUACACCUUUUGACUAAUGGAUAAACGCUUAUUCUCCGAGUUUGUAUACUUUAUUAGACAUAAUUUUCUUCCUUCAAAUGAAUUUGUUCUUUGGAUACUAGUUAAAUCUAUAUUGCUAUAGCAAAAAAAAAAAAUCUGACAUUGUCAACUUAAAAAGAAUAAAGAUUUAUUUUAGCUUCUGGU